rnacentral:rRNA from 1 species
GUAGGUGGCAAGCGUUGUCCGGAAUUAUUGGGCGUAAGGCGCGCGCAGGCGGUUCUUUAAGUCUGAUGUGAAAGCCCACGGCUCAACCGUGGAGGGUCAUUGGAAACUGGAGAACUUGAGUACAGAAGAGGAAAGCGGAAUUCCACGUGUAGCGGUGAAAUGCGUAGAGAUGUGGAGGAACACCAGUGGCGAAGGCGGCUUUCUGGUCUGUAACUGACGCUGAGGCGCGUAAGCGUGGGGAGCAAACAGGGAUUAGAUACCCUGGUAGUCCACGCCGUAAACGAUGAGUGCUAAGUGUUAGGGGGUUUCCGCCCCCUUAGUGCUGCAGCUAACGCAUUAAGCACUCCGCCUGGGGAGUACGGCCGCAAGGCUG